rnacentral:rRNA from 1 species
UACGUAGGGUGCAAGCGUUAAUCGGAAUUACUGGGCGUAAAGCGUGCGCAGGCGGCUAUGCAAGACAGAUGUGAAAUCCCCGGGCUCAACCUGGGAACUGCAUUUGUGACUGCAUAGCUAGAGUACGGUAGAGGGGGAUGGAAUUCCGCGUGUAGCAGUGAAAUGCGUAGAUAUGCGGAGGAACACCGAUGGCGAAGGCGAGUCCCUGGACAACAACCUGACAGCUG